UUCACGCACAACAGUGCCACCGCGACCGAACCAGUCAAGGGCGAUCCGCCCGACCCCUAACCCCCUCGAUCGAAUCCGUGGGCACUGACCGAAUCCCCUAGAUCCCCUCGUCCGAUUCCCGUGACCUCCACUCGAGUUUGCCCUCGAAACCGAGCACACGGUCCUCGCCAAGAUCUGCCGCCUGAAGUUUCUCCGGCGGCGAAUUCCGGCCGCCCCGGGAGCACCAUAAGGACCGAAUCAACCCCAACCCAGCUCCCAUCUUCGCCACCGCCGUUCCAGCCGGUCGCCUCCGUCACGGGAGAAGGCCCAGGUCGUCCUCUACGCCACCAUACUCUCCAACGCGAUCCACGAAAUCCCGUGGCGCCUAUCCCGAGCUCCGAGAGCCUCUCCUGCGACUGUAUGCUCUAAGUACGAGCCGUUCGCGUAGUUUUUUUUUUCAACUCCGGCAAACUUUCCGCUGAACAGCUAUCAGGCAAUCACGUGCUGCGACGUGUCCCUUUGUUUUUUUAAUAAUUCUUUCUCAGCCGAAAUUGAUUAUGUAAUUUUAUAGAUAGGCGCUUGGAAUUCAGUUAAUCAUAACUUUUCAACGACAGCUCCGUUUUUUAUGAAUCCAAUUGCGUUGGUUUCGUACCGAAGCCCUCUUUCUAGUGAAUCCAUAAUUUCAAACUUUUAAAUAUUUCAAAUUUGACCAAUUCAAAAUUGAAUUCAUACCUUCAUUUGAUCAUAUCAGAAGAACUGUAUAUCCUAUUCAAUUGAUUCCUUUUUCGUCUGAAACUUGGUACCAAAUACUUGCUGGUCGUAUCUC